rnacentral:lncRNA from 1 species
GGAACUUCCUCUUUUGGAUCGCAGAGUUGAUGUGCAGAGCGGCUUUUGCGCCCUUCCAAGGAUCGAAGCAGCAGCUGGAAGCUGUCAUGGCUUCAAUCAGGAACACAAUAGCCAUCUUUUUCUUCCUGCUGGAUUGAGAGCCUUCUCCAGGACAUUUGCAGACUUCCUGAGAUCGACACAAUGUGUUCCCUUCCUUCAUCACCAUUCCAAGACAAAGAGGAUGGCAAUAAGAGCACCUGGGACAACUGUAAAUAACAAGCAACGUUGAAAAAGGAAGAAAAUAGAGCCAAAAAUCAAAAUAUUUUCCAUUUCCUUCAGAAAACCAUACAAUUCUCGUCCUCAAACAGCUGUUAGACAAAAGAGAGAAAAUCAAGAAAGACUUGAAGUGGGAAUAAGCUGAUUAUGCAGAACUCAAGGAUAUAAUACAUGAAGUCAAGGGAGAUUAUUUUUCAUUCAGCAAAAGAGGGAAAUAGUCAGUGGGAAAGAAACUGUCAAUAGUAAAGCCACAUAGAGCAGACAGGAAUGCAACCUGUGAGGAAAAAACCAGCUUGAAUAAAAGCACCACUAAACAAGGCAUUGUCCAUAUUGUUGACCUCAAGAAUAUCAGCUGUGGAAAAGUUCCAUAGAUUUGCCUAUUGUGGGAAAAUAAUAGGUUGCAAAUCACA